rnacentral:rRNA from 1 species
UACGGAGGGGGCUAGCGUUGUUCGGAAUUACUGGGCGUAAAGCGCACGUAGGCGGAUCGAUCAGUCAGGGGUGAAAUCCCAGGGCUCAACUCCGGAAUUGCCUUUAAGACUGCAUCGCUAGAAUUGUGGAGAGGUAAGUGGAAUUCCGAGUGUAGAGGUGAAAUGCGUAGAUAUCGGGAGGAACACCUGUGGCGAAAGCGGCGCACUGGACCAUAACUGACGCUGAGGCGCGAAAGCUAGGGGAGCAAACAGG